AGGAUACGAAAGUGUGUGCAUCUACAAGUGCCCUCUAUUUUCUAGAAAGAGCUUGAGUAUAGUUUUAGCAAUGGACGCUAGUCAAAUAGUGACUCUAGUACAACGAGCUCUCGCUCAGAGUGAAUGUAUUCGUUGGAAUGAUAGCCCGGUACACAGGUACCUUGCUCAAUGAGUGGACCACGUGGCUAAGGAAAGUCGCAGGUUCUGCUUAAGUAUAUUUUUGAUGAAAUUUCUCGUAAGUUCCAGAUCUUCCUUGUAAUCUACAGUUGGUGAAGAAAAAAUGUCCAAGUCACUGGGAGAGUCCUCGAAUGGAUGCAGUUUUGGCGUUUUUUGACCACUACAAUAUUAAUCGAGAACAUUUCUUGAAAUCCAUUCGGACAGGGAAUUCAAUAAUCGUGAGGUUAUGGAAAACGUUUUUUUGAGAAAAGUUUCUUGUGCAAAUGGAGACACCAAUUGUUGUGAGUGCCUGGUCAUUUGUGCCCCUUGGAACUCAACGGAUCCUUAAGCAAUUUCAAUGGGACAUACACUCACACAUUACAGUACCCACCUAGCGGACCAAACACGUGGAGACCAAAGAAAUGUUAUUUCUCUCAACCCCUACGCAAUCAGUCCACCACAAAGGGAUUGAUUAUUGGGUGUCCCUUGGAUGGUGUGUCAUCAGCUUAUUACAUGUGGGAAACUUGAACGGUAAGGUGGAUUCUUUAUCAUAUCUGGAGAUCGGAGUUUAAGGAUUUAACGACAUUAUGAGGUCGGCAUUUUAAUCUCUUCGAUUACACAGUAUUAUGAAG